rnacentral:rRNA from 1 species
GAUGAACGCUGGCGGCGUGCCUAAUACAUGCAAGUCGAGCGAACAGACGAGGAGCUUGCUCCUCUGACGUUAGCGGCGGACGGGUGAGUAACACGUGGAUAACCUACCUAUAAGACUGGGAUAACUUCGGGAAACCGGAGCUAAUACCGGAUAAUAUAUUGAACCGCAUGGUUCAAUAGUGAAAGACGGUUUUGCUGUCACUUAUAGAUGGAUCCGCGCCGCACUAGCUAGUUGGUAAGGUAACGGCUUACCAAGGCAACGAUGCGUAGCCGACCUGAGAGGGUGAUCGGCCACACUGGAACUGAGACACGGUCCAGACUCCUACGGGAGGCAGCAGUAGGGAAUCUUCCGCAAUGGGCGAAAGCUUGACGGAGCAACGCCGCGUGAGUGAUGAAGGUCUUCGGAUCGUAAAACUCUGUUAUUAGGGAAGAACAAAUGUGUAAGUAACUAUGCACGUCUGGACGGUACCUAAUCAGAAAGCCACGGCUAACUACGU